rnacentral:rRNA from 1 species
GACGAACGCUGGCGGGGUGCUUAACACAUGCAAGUCGAACGAUGAACCCGGAGCUUGCUCUGGGGGAUUAGUGGCGAACGGGUGAGUAACACGUGAGUAACCUGCCCUGGACUCUGGGAUAAGCGUUGGAAACGACGUCUAAUACCGGAUAGGACCUUGGAUCGCAUGAUCUGGGGUGGAAAGUUUUUUCGGUCUGGGAUGGACUCGCGGCCUAUCAGCUUGUUGGUGAGGUAAUGGCUCACCAAGGCGUCGACGGGUAGCCGGCCUGAGAGGGUGACCGGCCACACUGGGACUGAGACACGGCCCAGACUCCUACGGGAGGCAGCAGUGGGGAAUAUUGCACAAUGGGCGAAAGCCUGAUGCAGCAACGCCGCGUGCGGGAUGACGGCCUUCGGGUUGUAAACCGCUUUUAGUAGGGAAGAAGGGCUUCGGCUUGACGGUACCUGCAGAAAAAGGACCGGCUAACUACGUG